rnacentral:rRNA from 1 species
UAUUAUCUCAGUGGCGGACGGGUGAGUAACGCGUGGGCAACCUGCCUUAGACCGGGGGAUAACAGUGGGAAACUACUGCUAAUACCGCAUAACGUCAUGAAGUGACAUCACUUUAUGACCAAAGGAGAAAUCCGGUAUAAGAUGGGCCCGCGUCCGAUUAGCUAGUUGGUGAGGUAACGGCUCACCAAGGCAACGAUCGGUAGCCGAACUGAGAGGUUGAUCGGCCACAUUGGGACUGAGAUACGGCCCAGACUCCUACGGGAGGCAGCAGUGGGGAAUAUUGCGCAAUGGGGGAAACCCUGACGCAGCAACGCCGCGUGAAGGAUGAAGGUUUUCGGAUCGUAAACUUCUUAGACAGGGGACGAAAGAAAUGACGGUACCCUGAAAACAAGCCACGGCUAACUACGUGCCAGCAGCCGCGGUAAUACGUAGGUGGCGAGCGUUGUCCGGAAUUACUGGGUGUAAAGGGCGUGUAGGUGGGAAUGCAAGUCAGAUGUGAAAUACCAUGGCUUAACUGUGGUGCUGCAUCUGAAACUGCGUUUCUUGAGUGCUGGAGAGGGAAGCGGAAUUCCAAGUGUAGCGGUGAAAUGCGUAGAUAUUUGGAGGAACACCAGUGGCGAAGGCGGCUUUCUGGACAGUAACUGACACUGAGGCGCGAAAGCGUGGGGAGCAAACAGGAUUAGAUACCCUGGUAGUCCACGCUGUAAACGAUGGAUACUAGGUGUAGGAGGUAUCGACCCCUUCUGUGCCGCAGUUAACACAAUAAGUAUCCCACCUGGGGAGUACGACCGCAAGGUUGAAACUCAAAGGAAUUGACGGGGGCCCGCACAAGCAGUGGAGUAUGUGGUUUAAUUCGAAGCAACGCGAAGAACCUUACCAGGGCUUGACAUAUAUCGA